AUGUACUGAUGUCUGUAAAUAAUAAGGGCACACACAUGGUGCUUACUAGGUGCAGGCCCUGUUCUCUCACUCCUGUAUUUCCUCAUUAAUCCUCACAACCCCACGAGGUGGUAUCAUUUUCUCUACUUUUCAAAUGAGGAAGCCUUGGCUCAGGGAGUUUAGUGACUUUCCCAAGGCCUCAGAGUGAACAAGUGGUGGAGCUGGGAUUUGAACCCUGUCUGCCCGGGCUGCAGAGUCCCUGUCCUUUACCACCCCAGUAUACUCCACUGUCAGAGAAAAAAAUAAAUAUAUUACAAAAUAGUACUUACCCUCACCUCAUGUGAUGCUUUCUGAUAUUUGCUAUUUUAUUUCAUUUCAUCCAAAAGAUUCUUGUCCAUACCCACUACACUGAUUUCCUGACUCUCUCUAAUUGGUCUCAAGCUGCUUCCUGUUACAUCCUACGUCCAGAGUGCCUCCUGCUCCUCCCCACUCCAUCCCAGUGGACGCUUCCCCAGUUCUGGCUGCCUAUUACUUCUUGCCUAGGUGACUACAGUAACCUCCUAAUUUUUUUGCGCCAUCUGUUCCUCAUACUGAGACCAAAGUAAUUUAGAAAAUGCAUUUCUGACCAAAUCAUCCCCUGAUUUAAAAUCCUUAAAUACCCCAUUGCUCCUCGGGCCUUGGUACUUGGUCUGUGAGGAUGAUCAGUGAAUAUAUGACUGAAUAAAUAAUUAUAAAAGAUAACUCUGUUUUUUCUCAGGAUGAGGGUCUUCUCCCAAGGAAAUAUUUUGAAGUUGACUUUCCGGUGAUAGUCACGAGAAAGCUACAGAGCAUCAAAUUCAAGUCUCUCCUAUCAAAAACCAAUUUAGACUUACAUUCAGAGGAGACACUUCAAAUGGGAUUGUAGGAAACAUAUGUAUAUGUGCAUAUCUGCAGGAACUGUUUGCUCAAAGAAUUGGCCAUUAUGAAUUUUAGCUACUGCCCAACUGUUCUUCAAGACCUUUUUAUGAAUUCCUACUUUCACAAAGGCAAAUCCGCCCGCCGUACAAACUAUUGGGACUUCCUGGCUGAUUGUGGUGUGGAUGUUGUAAGUACCAAUUUGCUGUGUGCUUCCCCGCUCCUUCUCCUGUUCCUCUUUAUCCCCGCUCCUUGUUCUCUUCCCCUUUAUCAAUAAACUCUGAUUGCUUAAACAACCAAAUAGCCUUGGCGGUACCUAUCAUUCCUCACCCUUUGUGGCUGCGGACAACAGCAACCCUAACUAGUGAGUGUUAAGGAAAAAAAAAAAAUCAAGCGCCUGCUUUUAAUUCAUGGCAAAUGGGCUGAAAAGCUGAUUUAGUGAAUUAUAAUUUUAGAUUGAAAUUCCCAAGGCAGUUAUAGAGGAGCUUGUCAAACCACAGAAACCAAUGGAAUCAAGAGAUGACUUGAACAGGGCAGUGGUUCAAUCCGUUUCAGAGAUAACAUCCAUUAUGCAAACCCAAAACCUUUAACUUUCU
rnacentral:lncRNA from 1 species